UGCAUUUGGAUUGAUGACCAUCCUGCAGAAAAGUAAAGAAAGAGUACUUUUUCCAGGAAGCAUAUGGGAGCUCCGUGACAAAACAAGGAAGACUUUGGGGCUAGUUGAUUCAGACAAGUGAAGCUGUCCACGACAUCAGGGAAGCAUCUUGGGAUGAAACAAAGGAACAAACAGAAGUAGGUAAUAAGGGUAUGGGACCAGUACACACACUUUUGUGCCUGAUUUAAACAAGCUUACAAAUGCUAAAUUUUGCAAUUUGGAGUCACUUCCAUUGUUCCCACUCCAUUAUCUUCUAUUUCUUAGAAUGUGAUCGAGUUAUGUCAAAUUCACGUGGAGACUUGAUAAGUCGAUGACAUAUCUUCCUUUCUUGUUCCUCAAUCAUAUCUUCUUCUUUAGGCUUAAUCUAAUGGUCCCCUUAGUCACUUUAGGGAAAGAGAUUAUGAAUCCGAUUUUCUUUUCUGGUCGCCAAUUAUUAAUCUGAUUUACCUGAUCUUAACCGACCAUGCCAAAAUAACUAAUAUGAAUCUGUUUUUUUAUCCUCAAUUUUUUUCUUUUGGUUCUUAAAAUAAAACCAAAAUUGUAUCAAACCUAAUUUAAAAG